GCCUGGGUGGCUCAGUCGGUUGAGCGUCCGACUUCGGCUCAGGUCACGAUCUCGCGGUCCGUGAGUUCGAGCCCCGCAUCGGGCU
rfam:Felis catus isolate Cinnamon breed Abyssinian chromosome F1, whole genome shotgun sequence.